GUCAAUUUGUCACUUUAAUGAAAAUUUGAAAAGGGACAUUCAGAAGAAAGCUGAUGGUACUGAAGUCAUGCGGAUAUUUUGGCCCAAAUUCAAACUAGGAGAAGAAUCAGUCCCUAAAGUCCCAGUUGCUCCAACUUAUGAGAGGGAGCAAAGUGGCCAACAAGAACUACUUUUACACCAGGCACCAUCAAAAGCGAACAGUAAAAGAAAAGCCCCAAAAUGUAAAGUCUGCAAUCAACCAAAGAAAGGACACCCAAAGAAAAAAUGCCAAAAAUGAACCUUGAAUUCUAUAUUAAUUUCUUUUAAGUAAUUACUGUCUUUCUGCUGAGUCUUUGUAGCCUUUGUUUUGGCCAACUUGGUACAGUUCUCGAAUAUGGUUGUGAACACAAGCUCAUAAAGGUCCUAAAUUGUCCCAGCCUAAAUACCCAUACAGCCAAUUUAUAAUCCAGUGAUAGGCAACAGCUCUGAUGUAUCUGUGAGCAAAAAGUCAUACAACAUAUAGCUUAUGUAACCACAGGUCUUUAAACACAAUCACAUAUAUUUUCAUUUUGAUAAGAUGUAUUUAAGGUUUAAGGAAUUACACUUGAAUUACACAAGAAAUACUAAGCUAGGCACCUUUUCUGUAAAACUUGCUGUGCCAGAAAAUAACUUUCAAAUGUAGCCUAGGCUAUUUAACAAUUGUUUGAUUAAAUUAGAUUUAUUAUUCGUAUGAAGCAAAAUAUGGAAUUAUUUUACUUUUGAGAUAGCCAAGCUAAGAGCGUUUUUCAUUUCUGUUACCAUUAUUUCUGUAAAAGUAACAGGGGAACCGAUUUUAGUAAAUUUUGACCUUGGCGCUCAUCUCAACCCCUUCUCCCUUGUUUAUGAAGUUCAACCACUUAAUUGAAAGAGUGAAAAAUAUAUAGACUUUAUUCCAUUGUUAAAGCAUGAUUUUGAUGCUAUCAAAAUCUUGAAUGAGAUUUACUCUUCUUCUGACGUGCCAUCUCUUCCCUUAAACAUCGGGCCUACUUGAAGAAGCCCCUGUUUAUUUGUCAUCGCCUGGUAAUCAGGAUGAUGUCAUCGCCUGGUAAUCUGGGUUGCAUCUUGACUCCCUUCUGCAACUACUUUUUCAUAAGCCCCAUAGUCUUCUUUACAGCAAUGAUACUCUCGGGCGGAGACCAAGUGUUUCGAACUGCAUUUUCCACAUUCACACCUUGGGUAUUAAGCCCCACGUUAAAACGCUCUCAACAUUUCACUGAACAUCGCUCUACAUUUGUAGAGUGCAAAUGUUGAGAGGGUUUUAACACCCUGUUCAGUGAUGUUGAGCGGUGUUCAGCGAUGUUGAGCGGAGUUUGAACAGAUUCAAAAAUGUUCAGCGUGUCGACUCAACAUUUCUAUUGUCCAAGGUGUUGUUGAGAGAUGUCGAGAUCAUUUUAACACCCCAUCCAACAAUGUUCAGUCGGCGCAAGCGCACUAGACUUCGUCGUUGCGCGCCAAAGAACGAAAUAGGUUUGAAUGCAAAGAGCUGAGUUAGAAUUUACAAAUCACAAUGGCAAACCACGAUGAAGGCUUUGAAACAGUGGGUAGUGAAAGCGAAUCGGAAGAGAUUAUAACUCAUGACAACCUGCGAGACGUAGAGCAGGCUUCCGAAGAAGAACAGGACGAACUUGCGAUUGAAUCGUUGGGCCUAGAUCCUGAAUCUGAGAGAGUCAUCAAACAGCUACUGUUGAAGAGGCUUCCAAGGGAAUCCACAUUUCAAGACUUUUCAUGUAGUCGCAAAAAAGCCAGAAGAAAUGUAAAGAACGACAAGAAAAAUGAUGACGGGCCAACUUCAUCUCUAUCGACCUCGCAAAAAAGAUCGACAUCUCGGAGGAACACUGGAAACCCUGGGAGUGAGGUAAAGAAGUGGACUCAUGAUGCGAUUUUAAAGCUUAUCGAUUUAUAUGAGGAAAACACUUGUCUGUGGGACAUUUUUUAAAAGGAGUACCACGAUAAAGACAAACGCGAAAAAACUUUAAGUGAAAUUUCAAGGGAAUUGGACACCCCAGUUGCAGACAUCAAAACAGACUUUUGUCACUGCGCUCCCAGCUUGGCAGAGAAAGAGCAAAAUUAAGCAAAACCAGAUCUGGUCAGAGCCUAGAUGACCUUUAUAAGCCCACAUGGAUUUAUUGGCAGAGGCUCCAAUUCCUGCAAGCAGUUAUGCAGCCUGGAAAAAGCAGAGAUAACAUACAAAAUCAAGAAGACAAGGAGCAGAGUCUAUCAACUGAAGCAAGUCUUGAUUCAGAACCUGGGUCCUCAAUUUCUGUAGUAGGGGAAUACAAUAGCAGCACACCCAGAGCAACAAAGAAAUCUUUGGAUUCUAAGAAGCAGGAACUUCUAACUACCUGCAUUAAUGUUUUGAAGCAACCAGAGCCCAAACCAAAGGAGGCAUGUUCCUUUUUUCUCUAUACAUCUCUGAAAAGCUGUCAAAAUUCAAUGCAAGAGACAGACUGAUUGCUGAGAAGAGGAUAAAUGAUGUCAUCUUUGACAUUGAGAUAAAAAAUCAACAGCAAGAUUUGAGAAAUGAUUUCCAGCCAAAUGAAUCCUACUCUCAGAAUAUUCCUGGGUACAUGCAGACAAAUAUGGCAUCUCAAAGGGAUAGGACAUCUUUUAUGUCAUUUCUUCAAUAGUUGUUCUUAGCAAAACCCUUCAAACUGCAUGACUUUCUUUUUUAUCUAUGCCUAUUUCCUCUAUAGCUAAACAAUGAUAACUUAGACAAUGAUGAUUCACAUAUGACUGCAACUGGUCUUAUUCAAUUUUCUAUUUGUAAUUUGAUUUGUUUCAGUAUUAAAACCCAUGUAAACAAUCUGAUGCAUAGAAAAAUUUGUCUACAAUUUGCCCAGUAGUUCAAAACAUGCAAACACUUUUUUAACUUUAGAUCCUUGAAAUGAAAAAGGAUAUGAAAAUGAGCUUGUUGUUGGUGCAUCUGAUUAAAUGAAGACUCUGAUAUUUCUUGAGAUUAUAUAUUAUGAUUACCUGUCUUUGAAAAAAUAUGAAGUAAAGAAAUAAGUUUUUUUCUCUCGUGACCUCUAAAAAUUUUGAUUUUGUACAGUUGAUUGAUGCCAGAUCUAGAAUCAACACCAGCUUUCAAUUUAUGCUAGAUACAAUGCUUUAAUUUUCAAAUUAAUGCCAAGAGGGUAAUUCUAUGUUUAAACAUCACAAUAAUGAUUUUUAGUAUUUUUGCAUAAGGACCGUUUUAAAAAACUUAACAUCAGUUAGGUCUACAUUUUAUGAAUAUAUAUAUUUCUUUUCGGUUUCAGCAUUUUUAGUUUAUUCAAAAUCUGUAUACAGUGCUCAAUGCAGAUAAAAUGAAACAGAAUUCUUCAUACUCUAGAAAAAGUUUUUGAUACCCCCUGAGUGUCUUUUGCACCUGCUCUGUCAGAAUUAGAGAUUGAUAAAGUCUUCUGUAAAUUUUUGAAAAUCAGGCAUUUAUCUGAAUUUCAAGUAAACACAUCAAGUAGCAAAAGUGUUAAAUCAAAUAUAUUGUAUAUAUAUGUAACAUGUAAACCACAAGGAGCAGCUUUACAAAGAAGGGAUGAUAAAGCAAGCAAGAAAAUAAUUGCUGUGCCGUUUUAUUUAUCUUUAUCCUGGCCCCCUAUGAACUAUAGUAAUAUGCCCCUUAGCACUUAUUCCAUUGCCAUUCCACAGCCCCUUCAUUACAAAAGUAAUCCUUAAACAUGUCUCUAACUUUCUUUGCAUUUGUGCAGGCAUUAUGUCCUCUUGGUGGUGGUGGCAAGGAAAUGAGGUUGUUUGUUGCUUGAUCAUUGCACCACAUGCCAGGAGACAGCCCUCCAUCUAGAUCAACAGCAUCUGUCAUUCCAACCGGGCAGUAUAUCUUCCUUGAUUGACUUUUCCUCAAAAAGUUAUGAAUGGUGAGAGUUGCCAUUGUUAUAGUACUUAUAGACUCUGGUGGAAGUAGAAUUACGGAGCGAAAUACACGCCAUCGGUUAGCUAUGAUGCCAAAAAGAUUUUCUGAAAUUCUCCUUGCUCUACUAUGACGAUAGUUAUAAAUUCUUUUGUCAUUUGUUAGGCCACACUGUGGGUAUGGCUUCAUGAGAUAUGGUUUCAAGGCAAAAGCAUCAUCACCAACAAAAACGUAGGGGACCUUUUCAACCCCAAGAGGAAGAUUCUUUGGUCCAGGAAGGCAAAUUUUCCCUGAUUCUAUUCCUCUUGAAAGAGAACAUUUAUUCCAUACACCACCAUCUGAAACUCUUCCAUUUGUACCAAUGUCUGCAUACACACAUUCAUAGUCUGGUCCAGCAACAGCUAGUAGGACUAUUGAAUGGGUAUGCUUGUAAUUAUAAUAAUGGGAGCCAGCAUCUGGUGGUUGCUGCAUUACCAUCAAUGUGUUUACCAUCAAUGUGUUUACCAUCAAUGGCUCCUCUACAGUUUGGGAAUUGCCAUCUUUCUUCAAAUUUCCUUGAUAUCUCCAUCCAUUCUUCAGGUUUUGAAGGGAAUUUGAGAAACAAAGGGGCCAAAUUUGUGCUUAUUGCAGAACACACAUCAUUAAUAAUGUAAGAGAUGACAGGAGUUGAUAUCCGAAAUUGGAAUCUUAAGGAUCUGUAGCUCUCCCCAGUGGCCAGGAAUCUGAUUGCAAGAAUCAAUCUUGACUUCGCAUCGAUCACCUUCUGCCCUCCAAGUAUUUGCUUUGGCAUUAUAUCUUUCUCAAUCAAAUUGAGGAUGUACAAAAAGUCUUCAUAACUCAUACGCAUCAUUUCCUUGAAGCCAUUUGUGUCCUCCAUGCUCAACUCCCUUACAAUAUUGUUAGCGUAUCCUUGCCCAUCUCUUCUUUUCAUCCAUGCUUUCAUUUUUCUCUUUUUGUGACCCUUUCCCUCGUUAUCAUCAUCUAUAAGUUCUAGCGUUAACAGGGCUGCGACGACUUUUCGCUUGUGACAUGCUGAAACUGCUGCCAUUUUGAACACAAUUGGCACAAAGCGCGAAAACGAGCCUACCUGAAUAGCGGCUUGCCUCGUCUUGGAUCUCUGGGAGACCAAAGUUCAUCGCUGAGCAAAUGUUGAGUCUGAUUGUUGAGAGCGUUUUAACACCCCCACUCAACAUGACUAAACUUCACUGAACAUCACUCUACAAAUGUAGAGCAAUGUCCAGUGAAAUGUUGAGAGCGUUUUAACGGGGCUUUAGAAAAUAAACAGGUUUGCGGUAAGCCGGGGUCAUAAGAGUCAAAAUUCAGAAGGAGCUUUAGUUGAGAAAAAAGGAGAAAACGAAAAUGGCGAACAUGAAGACUUUGUGAACUUACCAAUGAUCGACAGAAACCGAUCCAGCUUCUCUGUCUCUAAACUGUGACGGCCGUAUCCCAUCCUCAUCUCAGGGAUCGUCAUUCCCAUCUGAAGUAGGCCACUGUCUGACGAUGCCAAUGGUUCAUCUUGGUAUGGUUGAAACCUCCUCCCAAUCGUUCCAAAAAGAUCUUCCUCGUCAGUACUUGAAGAAAUAUUGUAGUUCUCACGUUCGCUUUCGCUGGAAUCGGCCAUUUUCUUGCAGAACACAACGACCGUACAUGAUUCUCCUAACAAUAAACUGAACUGAGUUUACUGAACUGAACUGAACUGAGCCACCUAUUGUUUGUUUGAUUUUCGUGUCCAACACUCUACCUAACAACACUACGCUUGUCCCAGAUCCCUGCGCUGUUUUUUAAAAACUCAUAUACCCCCAAAAUCGUGACUUUUGCACAGAAUUUUGAAAAACUGAGAUUAUUUUCGAAAUCAUUCCUUUUUUUAGCCCCAGUAAGUGCCGAAAAAAAAUUCGUUUCAUAUUCACUUUAAGGGUCUGUGAACAGUUUGAAUGACUUCAUAUACACAGCAGGGGUGUAGGUUUCAAAAGAAAGAAAGUUCCCAAAAAGAUGAAUUGAUGCAAGUGUAACUGAAAAUCCCCCAGUCACUGAAAUUUGUCUGCCAUCAAAGGAAGUUAGCCAAGAUCAUCACUACUAUAUUGCUGACUCACCACGAAAACUUAAACAUCAGAUUAAAAAAUGUAACAAUCAAAUACAGACAUUGCGAAAACAGCUAAGCAAAAAUAUUGUCGUCUUUAAAAGUCUGUGACUUCCUUGAGACUGUUGUUAAGCAUCUACGCCAGAAGCAGAUUAUUUCAUCCAGCUGUGAAGAGAUGCUUAAACAAUCCUUCUUUGGAGCAUCCUUGGAUCUUAUGAAGAGAAUGGCUUCCAGCAAGAUCAAUGGAAAAGGUUGCAAGUAUCCACCAGAGUUUGCAUUAACAUUGCAAUUUCACUCAGCAAAGGCUUAUGAGUUCGUUCAAAGAACAUUUAACUUGGCUUUACCACAUAACCCUAAACCUUCAUUCACACUGGACGUGUCACGGCGCAGUGCAUCAUGACGCUAACCAAAUAUGAUUUGCAGUAAUUGCUGUUAUGCGCACGCAUUGCGUUUUUUUAGCCAUGUGUCACGGCGGGUCAAAGUUAAAUUUAUUUAACACAGUGACGCUUCAGAACAAUGGUAAAGUCAAGAAAGAUGGCAGCUAAAAAAACAUAAACAAAGAACUUCUGAUCGAAGCUUUUCGGAAGUUACCUCGCUUGUACGAUACUAGCAAAAAAGAGUACAAGGAUGAGAUUGUCCGAGAGAAUGCCUGGAAGACUGUGUGCCAAGAAAUUUUUGAAGAACGGUAUGAAAGUGCAAAAGAACUUCGCGAAAGUUUGUAUUUUGUUGAUGUUUUUUUACUCAAGAGAAUUUUGAUUUCUUGAAAACCUGUUUUUUUAAACAAGUUUGUAGAUUUCGAAAGUCAAUGCUCUUCUUUAAGCAAUAUUGUAUCUCAAACGAAUGAAAAUAUUUUCAAUUUGUUUGAGAUACAAGCGGCAAUUUUAAAAAAUGUUUUGCUUCAAUCACGUAAUAGGGUAGUUCUUAUAAAAUAUAUCUAGUUGAAAGUAUCUAACAUUGACCACUGUUUUUUCCUAGAUAUGAACCUUGCCCGGAAAACAUUCAAAAACUUACGGGACAGAUUCAUGAAAGUGAGAAGGGAGUACAAGCCAUCUGGGAGCGCUGGUGGGGAACCAAUAGAACCAACAUGGCCAUUCUUCAAGCAGUUGCUGUUCCUUGCCCCCUUUAUGAAACAUAGAGAAACAGGGGGAAAUUUUGUUCUUCAAGAGAGGGAAGGCCACCAAGAAUCGUCAAAAAUCAAAAGCACCAUUGAUACCGAAUGUUUGCAUGAUUUGAUUGGCGAAGCAAGAAAAGGUAAUGAGCCAGCAUUCCUAAUUUUGGAUAGUACUGUUAUCCAAGAUUACACAGAAGAUUCUUCUGUAGAAUUACCAGCCACUCCACUUUCCUACGAAAGUGCUGUGCCUAAAAAUGAUAGAGCUGCAGCUGGAUCUCCUGUGGCUCAGUUGGACUCUCUACGAGAAUGUACCCGAACCAAAAAACCCGAAACCCCCCAGACAAGAAAAGACCCCUGACAACAGCCAGUUUUUGAUGAAGGUGAUUGAAAACACCAAUCAGUUCAUUUCAUCGGCUAGCAAAAGAGAGGAGCCACAUGAAGACGAUCUUUACGGUCAAAGUAUAGGAAAAGAACUUAAAAAAUUGUCUGCCUAUCAAAAAAGUUUGGCGAAAUUGAAAAUUCAACAAGUUCGAUAUGAAUAAUGGUGGAGCACUCAAGAAUAGACUCCUGACUCAUGGUAAUCUGGCUACUUGGUGUAGCAAUUUGAUAAUCCUGAUUUCCUUUGUAUCAAUCAUUAUUGACAAAUAAUUAAAUAUUGACUCAUGACUUCACGUUGUUCACAUCUAUUUUGAAUACAGUGUUGCGUUAAUGUGCCUUCCAAUAAGAUUAAAGAAGCAUACUUUGGUUCGCACACUUUAUGACCAAAUAAAUGAUGCCGAACAUACUAUGCUGUUUAAUGCUAAGUAAGUCCCCUUUAAAGUGAAAGAAAAAAUAAAAUGAUGCCCAUCACGGUUAGCCAAUUGUCCUAUCUAACAAAUAGCUUUUUGGAAAAAGGGUCCCUAAUCUGAAAGAUGCCAAAAACCCCUCAACCCCUCUCUAUAUAAGUUCAUCCAAGAAAGUUGAAUUUUAAAUUAAGAAGGCCCCUCAUAAUAUAAAACGUUGCAGAAUUUCUUUCAGAUAAAUCGAUUAAUUUCCAGAAACUUGACCAUGUUAUCAGAAAUUUUUAAACAUUAGUAAAAAUAUGCUGUUAAGAAAAUGGAUCGUAAGACAUUCUGCGAAUAUAAUCAUUUUGCCAUGGGAGCUCACCUUGAUGAGAAAGAAAAUAAUCUGGAAGCAAGAUCUAUAAUAUUCUGCAGCUUUUGUAUAGUUAUUUGUCCCCAUUUUGCCAAUAUUCUGUAGAGCUCCAGAUUCUGUCACUUCAUUUCACCAAGUGCCCUUCUGAAGAAUUCCAUGCGAAUCUCCGUAUUCAUGUAAGCAGUAUUAAAAGCAGCCAAGGGAAUUGUAUAAAGCAGGAUGCAACAGAAGUUCUCCACGUUGUUGAUGAUUCCUACAAUGGUAACAAGAAAGAAGACCCAUACAAUCUGAGCAUGACUAUCAUGAUUCACCCAAUUUUGCAAUUCUUUCUGACUAUAAAGAAGCUGCCGUAUCAUACAUAGCUGGCUAUGUUGCAAGAAUGGCAGAGAAAAGGCUUCUGUAUAUGGAUUGCUGCACAGCACUUGGCUUGAAGCACAAUACAGCAAAUUCAAGAUUCCUCAAGGACAGAGGAGGACGUUUUAAACCCACCCAUAGUGUGACAACAAUAUGCAAAGAAACAGAGAAGUGCUUCAACAGGAUGCUGGUAUCCACUGGUGGAAAUCUUCGACAAUGUGCAGGUUUGUCCCCUUGAGCCACAAACAUGAAUAAAUGUAAACAAUGAUUACAAACCCAAAGAGUUAUUGAGGAUGUCACCAAACAACUAGUUUUCAACUCUUUUUCAUGCCAAUGUACAUAUUGUAUUUUAAUCUUUUAUAUAUCCACCAUCUUUUGAAUAUACAGGCAUGCUAUAUAACAUACUAUAAUUACUUAAUCCCUCUAUACUUUAUCUAUAUAUUACAACAGUGUGGCUCAUUACAUUAUUAAAUUUUACUGGCAAAACUAUGUAAAUCAAAAAUUCCAAAAGCAGAUGAAAUCCUUUGUUUAAUCAAGAGAAAAAAAGACAUUCACAGUAGUUCAAAAACUUGUUGUCAAAAGAAUGGGCAUCAAAUUUCCAUAAUGUUAUCACAAAUUUUACUAAUUUGAAAAUAUUUGGUUCCAAAUACUGGAGACCUUUCUGGUUUUUUCAGGUAUCCCUGAUGCAAUAGCAACUGCUGUUUUAGGAAUUGUUAACUUGCCUACUGUGCUCAGGGACCUUGACGAGAAUGUUCUAGACUCUGCACUUGGUGAAAAUCAGGUUUUCAAUCUGAUCAAGACCUUGGCCAAGUGUUACUGAUAGGUAAGGUUGUACCACCUAGGAAAAAAAAGCCAGCUUUCAGGCCCUAACAUCAGAAAGAAAUUCACAAAGCUGAUUCCUCUUUAAACACCAGUAAAGGUACAGAAAGAAAUCAAUCUCUUGGCAAUAGAGUAACACUGUAAACACAUGUAUGAACAAAGUGGCAAAUUUUUGUAAAGUGAAUCCUGUGUACCUUUUUUAAAAUUAAAGCAGAAUUCGGUUCUUUUAACUCAUACGCUCCGCGAGCAUUACCAAAUAUUUCGCUUUGAUUCCCAGUGUCUAUUGUUCAAUAUUCAGUCUCGCAUCCCGGUGAAAAUGGCUUCCGCCUCAAACUAUUUUACCUGUUGUUUCAAAACGACUUAUAGUUCGGAUUCUGCUCAAAAUUCAACAAAAAGAAUUAUAGAAAAGUUUUAGGUUAGAGGAUGCUCUUUUAGGUUAUUCAGCUUUUAUUAACAUAAGCCCUAACAAUUUGCUGCGAUUUCCAGUCAAAGUCUCAGACCAAGAAAGUCGAGCAGAAAAAAAAUCAAACUCAGUUUUCUUAACAUAAAGAUAUGGAACGAUAUAAAGAAAAAGCAUAUUUUAAUAAUUAGCAGAUUAAUAAGAAAUAACGAGCACAUAAAAAACAACUUACACACACAUUAAACUACAUGAAAGUCAUGAAAGCAGUCAUUAAUAAUGCAAAGGAACGUGUAUUUCCCUGCCUCCAUGUUGCUGCAGCCUGUGCAUACGAAGCGGGAGUACCCAUCCUUCUUGUUUUUUGUGCAGUUUUUGCAUCUGCCUCGCUUUUCAACCUUUUUAGGCAGAUGCUUUUAAGCCCCCAAGUCUGGAUUGACUUGUCUACCGCGUUUUCGACCACUUCUGUUGCUGCCAAUGAGCUGCAUGGCUAAUCUUUUCCUGAAUUCGAGGAGUGUCAUGGUCUUCUCUUUCGUGUCCUUGCAAACCGCUUAUUGUUCGGUGACUCCUUCAUCAAUAUGAAGGCAUUGGAAAUAGAUAGGUCCACCAAAAACCAAAGGAUAUAGGUCCACCAACGCCGAGAUUUUCUGGCACAGCAAUAAGCCGUCCGCAUUUGGUCUGCUCUAUCCACUGCAGCCAUGUUUUUGUUGUAGCUCCGAACAGGUGGUGGGCAUGAGAUUUCCUGGUAACUCCCAUCCUUUUGCUUUCUUUUAACGGAUGUUUCUGCAAAAUUCGGAUUAUGGUUAGAAGAAAGCAGCCUGACAGGCUUUCUCCCCUUUUUUUCCUGCCAUACUGUUGCAGUUAUGCCAUUCUUUUGCCAUGUUUUCGAAUCGCCUGGUUGCAACAUUAGGCCCGACUUCUUCCCUCUUGUUACACACAUCUCGUUCGGCACUGACUUGGCGUUACUUUUGACAGUGCCGCAUCCAUAUAUCCCAUUUUUUAGGAGGUUUUCAUGAAAGGCGACACAACUGAAAUAGUUAUCGGUAAACAUGGUGGUUUCUGCCACGAAUGUUUGUUGUCAAACGUUUGAAAACCUUUCUUCCGAGUUCUUUCUCUCAGCCAUGAUUUCCUCCUGGCUUCCCAACGUAAACUUUGAACUCACAAACAUACCCAUUCUUGCUGUCUGCCCGCUCCCAAACCCUGAUACCAUAUUUAGUUGGCUUGGCUGGCAUGUACUGCCUAAAUGACAAUGUGCCACGAAACUUUAUCAUCGCUUUUUCUACAGCAUUUUCUCUGUUAGGACUGUAAUUCCCCAAACACUGUUUGUUGACAACUUCCAAAAGUGGCCUCAUCAAGUGGAGCUUGUCUCUGUUCCAAUCUUGCCGAUUAUAGCCAGUGCGAUCUUGUAUGUGUAUAAACUAGGAUAGUUUUUUUAUCUAUCCCUCGUCAUGAUCUCAGCAAUGGCAAAAUCACCAUAAAAUUUGUCCUGACUCCAGUACAUUUUGAUUUCUGGCAGGUCAACCAAUGACAUGAAAAUUCUUAGGCCAACAAAGCAGCGCAUUUCAUCAGGUGUUGUUGGGGACCAGCACUGAUCUACCUUGUGUCGCUCCACCUGUAAGGCAUACAAAUUUGUUUGCUCUGCCAAAAUGCAGUAGAUCUCUUCAGAGAACAUUUUCUCAAAAAAGUUUAUUUCUUUGGCUUCACUAGCAAGAGUGAAUGUUGCUCCGACAUCCUCUACAAAUUCUGGGAUGUUUAUGAAGAUGCCCAUGGUAUUCUUCAUCACAGAACAUGGAGAUCUGAAGUAACAGAGUCUGGCUCUCUUUCAGAGAUAAAGCAACUUGGUUCUAAUAUUCAUAGUAGAUCCGCCCAAGCUUUUUAAGAGAAAGUCGCAGGCUACUUUCAGUCUGCACAAGAAGAAUUGCCUUGGCAGUAUGAUUACGUAAAAAGAACAUCUUAUGAGCCAAUCAAAUAAAAUCGUUAGUUAACUUUGCUAUUUCCGUUGCUAUACAUUUAUAAUAUUUUUUACCACUAAACUUAAAUUGAAAAACAAACAAAGUUAUUUCUCGUUGACACUGGGGUGCUGAAAAGACAGGAGGGGCUCAGAAUUAAGGUUACGGUAAACGUUUUCUUGAUGAAAACAUCAUUUUUUCGAUUUUUUCACAUUCAAGUAGCCGAACUUUCAAGGCACACAAUGAUACCAAAUUUGAAACAAACAGAAAUUUUGAAAGUGGAAAAAAUCCCAUGUAACCGAAGGUUUCCAUAAUUUCUUUAUCAAAACUUUUAGUUGAGGCCUGAAAAUCUCUUGACCUGUUAAGCCGAUUAUCGUUGCUUUGCGGUUGUGGUCGCAUGUCUCAUUUACAAUAUCGCAUGGCACAUCCAUAUAUCCAAUGUACGGCCGUGUUUAUUUAAACAGGCUUAUUGAUCUUAAAUCUUCAAGUGACUUGACCCGGAUUACACUGUGGUUUACGAGUGUAUCUUGCAAGUGCGAUCAGUAAAAUCCCGUUUUCUCCGGACUCGAAAUUCCUCUACAUGCAGGUAUGAAAAAGCUAUUAUGUACCCAAGGAACCAAUCGAAUGGCUCGAAAAUUUGCACACAGCCAGGGCAGACGUUGGGCAAACAAAGUGUGUCUCAAAAUUUUUUUAUUUUCUCUGGUCCGUCUUUUAUACCCAAAUACAGCUGCGGGAGGGUGGAAAAAUUAUUUGCCAAUUUUUGACAGGGUAUAGUUUCAUAAAGAGGAGGAAUUUAAAAAAUCUGAGACACACUUUGGUAGCUUAGGACCUGCACUUCCUGCUGGUCUAAGUCAGAUUUUGUUACCUCAAACGCAAGGGUACAUAAUAGCUUUUGAAGGUGGUACACUUUUUGACAAGUAAAUUCGCAUGGAAAAUAACAUUUAACAUUAUUUGCCAAUAAUUGUUAUCUGGCUAGAUACGCCAUAAUCUUGUGCAUCGAAUGAUAUAUAGUUUAUCCAGAUUUCUUGAGCCGUUUGGCCUUUAGGAAGGAAAAACCAAUUUUCGUGUUCAAAACGUUUACCGUAACCUUAACAGGAAAAGGCGUCUUUCAUUGAAAAAUGGAAAAAAUGGGACAAGAAUCUAAAUGGGAAAAGCACAUCACACAUGAAAAGUAAUAUCUGCUUUCAUGAAUAGAAAUAUCUGCUUUUCAUAGUGCAAAACGAGGGCAACAUGAGAGAAAACUCAUAAUAAUAAAAAAUUUCUUUAAGUCGCCAUGAAAACAGCUCUUUGAAGCAAUUGUUCUUUAUUCAAGUCUAUUCGAAGAGAACAAAUAUUUUGAAAGUAAAUUUUGAAAUAAAAUUAAAAAUGUUUCGUUUUUAUUAGUUUAACUUUAUGACGAAUGUCAUUUCUAUCAAAAAACUUAAAUCAUGUACUGUAAAAAUUGGCGUCCUAUUCAAAAUGUUGAGAAGGGGUUCUAUUCAAAGGGAUGGGGGUUAUUUAGAAUUUUCAGUUCCAGAUUAGGGGCCUAUUUGAGGAGAUUGCUUAUGCAAGAGCGGUAGAGGCAAUAAAAUAAUACGACAGUGGUCAAUAGUAUCUCCCCUCUCUCAAACGGCACCCCAUUUUAAAAAGACGCUAUCUAAUCUAAUAAUGUUAUUCAAACUCAAAAAGGUUCUUAAUGCUACCAAAUUUACGUUUUUCAACUGGCUCUCACUCAGCCACUUAACUUCAUGAUAACUUGUUGGAUUUUUAUUUUAGCAAGGCUUUUUUGGUAUUCACUUAGUUUCUUUAACUGUUUCCCGACACUUUGCCCAAACAAAUCAUCUUCAUCAGGCUCCUGGCGAUUGCAUGCUGCUGCAAUGAAGUCAUUGGAUUCCUUCAAAGCUUGUAACGGCAGCUCGUUACUUGUGUCUUCUUGACCCAUUCUGCGCUUUUUAGAUUUACCUGUUUGCACAGUAUUGGCAGGUAUCGACGAAGAAGGUGAGGGGGCAGCAAUUGACGCAUCAAUAGAGACGGUUGGUGAAAGAAUUGGGGAAAAGAUUGGGUGUCUGUCUGGGGAAGAGGUUUGCCUUAAACCGGAUGACAGGGUCUCAAUUUCGUCAUGAGGCAGAUUGACGAAUGAAUCCUCAUUAGUGGUUUGCAGCGUAGUAGAGAAACGUUUGAAACCAUAGGAUGUCACUUGCAAAUUGCUGGUAGUGGGCCUAUGUUUUAGAAAUGGAUCUAGAAAUUGCAACUGGGCAGAGAAUGGCCACGAAGGCUCCAAAGGAACCCCUCCUGCACUCCCUGACGGCUUGUACUCUUUCUUCAUUUUCAUGUACCGGUCUCUCAAGUUUUUGAAAACUCUUUUCAGCAUUGCAAUAUCUGUAUGGCAAAUAAAAAAAUUCUAAGCUCAACUAACAGUAAAAUUUUGUUAAAACGAAUAAAAUUAUAGAGUUUUAGAGAGUUAUGUUGACACCUUCAAAAGCCUAAAAGCAAGUUUAAAAUACAACGAUGGCUUUUAUUGAAAUAAUUUCAGACUGACAUGGUUAGCCGGACACGCCAAGCUGUUCAUACGUGUUUAGUAGCCAUUUUAAACUAGCGAUCUGAGCGUCAAGAAGCGUUUUUGUUUUAUUUUUUCAACUUUGCCGCUUUGAAAAAAAUGCAUUGGCAUCAAGCUGUGCGUCAAAAAACGCACACCUUUUAUGGUCCGCGGCAUGAAAAAUGCGACAAGUGUGAAUGGACCUUUAGUUUGAAAAAUUAUCAUUUUGUAGCGACCUUCCUUUCUUCCUCAUUAUCAGCAUUCAUUAUUCAACUUGUUAUUUUUUUAACCUUAACACUCUAGGUGUACAUUCCAAUGUCAAAAUUUUCUGUCUUUUGUUUGGGCCUAUUUUAACCUACAGGCAUGUCUAUUAGAAAACUAUUUACACUCGGAGUAGCCCUUCCUUUCCCACACCACGUUAUAUUUCUUUUACAUAAUUAGCCAUCCGUUGUGAAACCACAUGUGUAUAUAUCAGACUUUACCAAUAGAUUUCUAGUUAGUUUGUUUUCAUAUUCGCUGGAGAAAAAACGCACAAAAUACAAGCAAGUUGUUUUCAUGUCCAGCCACGAUAAGACCUAUUAAAAGUUUGUGUUUUGCAACCGCCCCCAAAAAGAAAAAAGGCAUAUCAAAAGAGCUGUUAACCUUUAUACAAUGGGGGAAAAGCGAUGUUAUUGGACAUCAUGUUGAAGAGUUAGACGGAAAAAAUUAUGUAACAAAAAUUUGGUGCAAGCUUUGUACAAAAUAUCGGAUAAAAAUUAUCAAACACCCAUUUUUCAAUGGAGCAGCUGCAGUUGCAGGUAGUGCAUUUGCCGAUGGCACUAAAAGUGUUACCAAGUUCCAGGUAUGUAAAUCCUUGACUUAUUUUGACAUAAUUCAAUGUCAUUUUUUCAAAGAAUCACAAUCACAUGCAAAGACUUAUAGAAGCGUGGCUUCGUGGUCAAAGUUAGUAGCCUGGGUACUAACCUAAUGAUUCUAGACUUUUAAAUUUAGAUUUUUGGCAACAAUUAGUUUCAUGAAAAUGAUCUUUCAAUAUUUGUUCACGUAUUUUACAUUUUCGACUCGUAUUAAUUGGUUUGUGUAUAUUUUUAUGGUUGAUCGACAUUUAACAAGUGAAGCUCAUGAGAUAGCUGUCAUGCUUGACAACAGACAACCAGUGCAGGAACGGAACCCUAAAAUACAGCCAUUACAGCCAGAUGUACGUCAAGCGCUCAAUGACUCUUCUAAAGAUUCAUUCAAGAAACUGAUGAAAACUGGUUAUGCCAUGGCGGUUGUCCCAUCUAUGCCUCAUAAACAUUUUUCUGUUCUUGUGAAGUGCCAAAGAGAUAACGGUGUAAGACUUGUUGAGGGUAAGGACACAAGUGUUGCAACCAGAGAAUUCAUGCAUUGUAUUGCAGAGGAUGUGGUAGAAACUUGUGCCUCCAUCAUUUCCAAGUCUUCUUUUGUUUCUAUACUGUCUGACGGAUCACAAGCCCGUAAAACAAACGACGAAAAAGAACAUGAAAUAGUUUGAACAGUGCGAAAUGGCAAACCUGUAGUGGUGGCAUUGCUUGAUAUAAAAAGAUUUGGUGGAGUUGAUGCUAUGUCAAUCAAAACUGCAGUCGAAAGCAUUUUUUCAAGUGAAGAUGGUAAAACACUUCAAAUUUGUAUUACCGAUUACAAUGGUGAGUGCAACAGCAGAUAGUGCCAAUGUUAAUCUGGGGGUUUAUUCUGGUGUUUUGACACAGAUGAAGCACGAAAGAGAGUGGUUAGUCAACAUACAUUGUGUUAGUCAACAUACACUUGAAGUUGGCAUUAAAGGAUGUAAUCAAAAGCUUUGUUCCUUUUCAAUGAUUGGACAGCCUUUAUAAAGAUUUGUGGUAUCUUUUAAGAAACUUAGGAAAGCUGAAGGCCGAAAUUAUGGAGGCAGCUGCUGCACUAGAUAUCACAUUUUAUGAGUUCCAUAUUCUUUGGGAGCCUUAUCUCUUGUUUUCAAAAAGCAAAACUUACUGGCAUUUGAAAUCCCACCAGCCGUAGAAAGGAUCAAGGAUUCUUUAAAAGAAAUUGCUGAAGAGGUUAGUUUGGUAGCCAGCUAUUUGAGAAAAUGAAGCUUGGAAAGAAAUGGAGAUAAAGUGACUGUCGAAGUUAGCCUGGUCACGAGAGACAGAAACCGGAUAAUCGUGACCAUGCAGAUUUUGAAAUUGAAGGUCUAGCGAAUGCUCAGUCUGAGACUAUUCAAGCAACUCUACAGAUGUUAAAGGAAGCUGGAAGACUACUGAUUCCAGUGAUUGAAGAGCGCUUUAAUUCAGUUGAUCAAGACCUGUUUGGAAGCAUGAUCUGGCUUGAUCCGAAGUAUUGGGACAAUGCAAGCAAGGAGUAUGGGAUGGAACAGAUAAAAUUUUUUGCUGAUUUAAUCACAGUUUCACUACAAGAAGCCUCAUUUGGUUGUGAAAAUGUCAUCAAAGAGUGGAAAUCCCUGAAGUACUUGCAGAGGUUUUUUACCCAACAAUGGAGGCUGGCCAAUUUUGGGAGAAAAUUCUAGAUUUCAGACAUGCAGAGUUUCCAGAUUUGUGCUUACUUUUCAACUUGUGCUUUUGUGUUUUGUGCUCAAACUCUUCGGAUGAAAGAGCAUUUAGCAUGCUAACUACUAUAUUAUCUGACAAGCGCCUGAGGAUGUCGCACAAAACAAUGGAGUAGUGCAUCAUUAUUGCAGGGAACAACACGAAUUGGGACAAAUCUGACUGUGAAAAGAUCUUAAGUAAAGCAGUAGAAAUCUGCAUGGGAAAAAGAAGAAUCCCAGUAUUUCCAAAAAAUCAAUACAGAGAAAGAGACAGAUUGGCAAAGUAGUAACCAAAACGUUGACACUCUCUAUAUGCAAACUUCUUCACCCGAGGACUCAAGUGAUAGCUACGACAGCAUAAUUUAAAAUGUUAUAAAACUUUCGCUGAUAUUGAUUGUCUUUUCUUGAUAUAUUGAUUAAGUUCGGUUCUUAAUUCUCUGAAAAGCUGAGCAGUUAUCAAUGAUAUUGCUGGAAUCAUUGUCCUUUUUGCAACUCCUGCAUAGACCUACCAUAAAUACCUAGAUUUUUCCAAAGAAUUAGUGUCACACGUAACCACACACAACCACACUGGAUCAUGUCAGGUGCGUGGUGGUUAGAAUGCCUGCUAUAAUCUAAGUGUUAUAAAACCCUUACUGUGCAAGUUUAUCAAACCAGUAUAAAUGUGAAGCUAGUUAAUUGUUAGCUUUGGGCAGAUUUCCAAGGCAAAUACCAUUACCAAAGCCUGUUUAGGCCGGAGUGAAACAUAAGUCAUUUAAAGA